rnacentral:rRNA from 1 species
GAUGAACGCUCGCUACAGGCUUAACACAUGCAAGUCGAGGGGCAGCAUGGUCUUAGCUUGCUAAGGCCGAUGGCGACCGGCGCACGGGUGAGUAACACGUAUCCAACCUGCCGUCUACUCUUGGACAGCCUUCUGAAAGGAGGAUUAAUACAAGAUGGCAUCAUGAGUCCGCAUGUUCACAUGAUUAAAGGUAUUCCGGUAGACGAUGGGGAUGCGUUCCAUUAGAUAGUAGGCGGGGUAACGGCCCACCUAGUCUUCGAUGGAUAGGGGUUCUGAGAGGAAGGUCCCCCACAUUGGAACUGAGACACGGUCCAAACUCCUACGGGAGGCAGCAGUGAGGAAUAUUGGUCAAUGGGCGCAGGCCUGAACCAGCCAAGUAGCGUGAAGGAUGACUGCCCUAUGGGUUGUAAACUUCUUUUAUAAAGGAAUAAAGUCGGGUAUGGAUACCCGUUUGCAUGUACUUUAUGAAUAAGGAGCGGCUAACUCCGUG